rnacentral:rRNA from 1 species
UACGGAGGGGGCUAGCGUUGUUCGGAAUUACUGGGCGUAAAGCGCACGUAGGCGGCUUUGCAAGUUAGAGGUGAAAGCCCGGGGCUCAACUCCGGAAUUGCCUUUAAAACUGCAUAGCUAGAGUCCUGGAGAGGAAGGUGGAAUGCUUGGUGUAGAGGUGAAAUUCGUAGAUAUCAAGCGGAACACCGGUGGCGAAGGCGGCCUUCUGGACAGUGACUGACGCUGAGACGCGAAAGCGUGGGGAGCAAACAGG